rnacentral:rRNA from 1 species
AGAGUUUGAUCCUGGCUCAGGAUGAACGCUAGCGGCAGGCUUAAUACAUGCAAGUCGAGGGGCAGCAGGUCUGUAGCAAUACAGAUGCUGGCGACCGGCAAACGGGUGCGGAACACGUACACAACCUUCCUUUAAGUGGGGGAUAGCCCAAAGAAAUUUGGAUUAAUACCCCUUAAGAUUAUGAGAUGGCAUCUUUUUAUAAUUAAAGCUCCGGCGCUUGGAGAUGGGUGUGCGGCUGAUUAGGUAGUUGGUGAGGGUAACGGCCCACCAAGCCUGCGAUCAGUAACUGGUGUGAGAGCACGACCAGUCACACGGGCACUGAGACACGGGCCCGACUCCUACGGGAGGCAGCAGUAAGGAAUAUUGGUCAAUGGACGCAAGUCUGAACCAGCCAUGCCGCGUGGAGGAUGAAGGUCCUCUGGAUUGUAAACUUCUUUUAUCUGGGAAGAAAUGUAUUUUUUCUAAAGUGUUUGACGGUACCAGAUGAAUAAGCACCGGCUAACUCCGUGCCAGCAGCCGCGAUAAUACGGAGGGUGCAAGCGUUAUCCGGAUUCACUGGGUUUAAAGGGUGCGUAGGUGGGCAGGUAAGUCAGUGGUGAAAUCUCCGGGCUUAACCCGGAAACUGCCAUUGAUACUAUCUGUCUUGAAUACCGUGGA